rnacentral:rRNA from 1 species
AUUGAACGCUGGCGGCAGGCCUAACACAUGCAAGUCGAGCGAGCGGCGGACGGGUGAGUAAUGUAUGGGGAUCUGCCCGAUAGAGGGGGAUAACUACUGGAAACGGUGGCUAAUACUGCAUACUAUCGGCUGAACCCAGAUGGGAUUAGAUAGUAGGUGGGGGAAAGGCUCACCUAGGCGACGAUCUCUAGCUGGUCUGAGAGGGUGCUCAGCCACAAGGUGACUGAGACACGGCCCAGACUCCUACGGGAGGCAGCAGUGGGGAAUAUUUCGCAAUGGGCGCAAGCCGGAUGCAGCCAUGCCGCGUGUAUGAAGAAGGCCUUAGGGUUGUAAAGUACUUUCAGCGGGGAGGCGUUACCCGCAGAAGAAGCACCGGCUAACUCCGUGCCAGCCGCCGCGGUAAUAC